rnacentral:rRNA from 1 species
AAACGACUCUCGGCAACGGAUAUCUCGGCUCUCGCAUCGAUGAAGAACGUAGCGAAAUGCGAUACUUGGUGUGAAUUGCAGAAUCCCGUGAACCAUCGAGUCUUUGAACGCAAGUUGCGCCCGAAGCCAGUCGGCCGAGGGCACGUCUGCCUGGGCGUCACGC